UGUAGGAGUGAGCCUGCUCGCGAUAGCGCUGUGUCAGUCGACAUGGGUGUAUCUGAUACACCGCUAUCGCGAGCAGGCUCGCUCCCACA
rnacentral:misc_RNA from 1 species